rnacentral:tRNA from 1 species
UGCGGUGAGGACAAGCGGCUAAGUCGCUGGUCUCAUAAGCCAGAGGAUCGGGUUCAACUCCCGGCACCGCUUCCA